ACCACUAGUUUACUUUUAAGCUACUGCACCAGCAGGCAAGCCAGCACACUGAUUUCUGCUAUUCCCACUAGACUGAACACAUUUUUCACCUCCUGGACAAGAGGCAACAGAACCUCUUAAACCCUUGCAUUGUGCACCUCUGACAGCUGUGAUUGUGUAUGCAGCAUGCAGACUCCAAAGGAUGGACCAACCCUCCUGAAUCUAUGGGAACCCCAACUACUGGCUGGAGCCUUGAACUAAACCCUAAGUUAACAGCUUUCCCAUCCUGAUUAGUGCCAGUAAAGAUGAAACACGCAGCCCAAGAUAACUUGGCCACCCACCCCAGGCAGGCUUGCUGGUUGCAGGCCCCAGCCUAGGCUGGGCAGAUGGGUCAGGAAGCACCCAUCCCUUCCUGCUGUUGACAGCUCACAUGCACACAGCAGCUCCCCAAGGCAGACGAGAUGAGUCAUCCUCUAAGCACCCAGGCGUUCUUCCAGUCAGCGAAGCUUGGUUUAAUACAGUCAUCCAAUAUUUAGACUGUCAGAGCUAGGUGUAGUAAACAACAUCCUUUAUGUCAGUCAUACUGAACACACAGAUCUAUCACCCUCUCCAAGAAGAUCAACAAUGAAAAAAUAACCAUGAGUGGAAAAAAGCCAGGUGACAGCACAUAUAGACUUCAUCAAUAAAUUAGGAGCAAAAAAAAUACUAGCUGUGCAUCAAAUGGCUGCAAUAAAACUUUACUUUUGGAAA